rnacentral:rRNA from 1 species
UACGAAGGGGGCUAGCGUUGCUCGGAAUCACUGGGCGUAAAGCGUGCGUAGGCGGUUCGUUAAGUCAGCUGUGAAAGCUCCGGGCUCAACCUGGGAACUGCGGUUGAAACUGGCGAACUAGAAUCUGGCAGAGGGGGGUGGAAUUCCACGUGUAGCAGUGAAAUGCGUAGAGAUGUGGAGGAACACCGAUGGCGAAGGCAGCCCCCUGGGCUGAGAUUGACGCUCAGGCACGAAAGCGUGGGGGGCAAACAGG